rnacentral:rRNA from 1 species
GAAAGGCGUGCGAUACAGGGUGACAGCCCCGUACACAAAAAUGCACAUAUUGUGAGCUCGAUGAGUAGGGCGGGACACGUGGUAUCCUGUCUGAAUAUGGGGGGACCAUCCUCCAAGGCUAAAUACUCCUGACUGACCGAUAGUGAACCAGUACCGUGAGGGAAAGGCGAAAAGAACCCCGGCGAGGGGAGUGAAAAAGAACCUGAAACCGUGUACGUACAAGCAGUGGGAGCCUCUUAAUGGGGUGACUGCGUACCUUUUGUAUAAUGGGUCAGCGACUUAUAUUCUGUAGCAAGGUUAACCGAAUAGGGGAGCCGAAGGGAAACCGAGUCUUAACUGGGCGUUAAGUUGCAGGGUAUAGACCCGAAACCCGGUGAUCUAGCCAUGGGCAGGUUGAAGGUUGGGUAACACUAACUGGAGGACCGAACCGACUAAUGUUGAAAAAUUAGCGGAUGACUUGUGGCUGGGGGUGAAAGGCCAAUCAAACCGGGAGAUAGCUGGUUCUCCCCGAAAGCUAUUUAGGUAGCGCCUCGUGAAUUCAUCUCCGGGGGUAGAGCACUGUUUCGGCAAGGGGGUCAUCCCGACUUACCAACCCGAUGCAAACUGCGAAUACCGGAGAAUGUUAUCACGGGAGACACACGGCGGGUGCUAACGUCCGUCGUGAAGAGGGAAACAACCCAGACCGCCAGCUAAGGUCCCAAAGUCAUGGUUAAGUGGGAAACGAUGUGGGAAGGCCCAGACAGCCAGGAUGUUGGCUUAGAAGCAGCCAUCAUUUAAAGAAAGCGUAAUAGCUCACUGGUCGAGUCGGCCUGCGCGGAAGAUGUAACGGGGCUAAACCAUG